GCUGUUUUCCUAGCAAAGGGCAGGGACCACCACUGGCUGAAUUAGAAAUCCUUAACUCCUAAUGCCCGAUGCCCAAAGACCCAAAGCAAUUCAAAAGUUCAGCCUCUGGGGAGUUUCCCUGGUUGUGACACAGGGCUUAUGGUUGAUUUCAGGGAAGCUAGACUUGUGUUACUUUGCAAUGAGCUACGUCUAGCAAAUAGAAUCUUAAAAUAUCUACAAAUGCAGACCUAUUUGAUCUCUUCAGGACUAUAUUGUAAUCAUGGAUACACAUGAUGCACAUUUCACAUUUCCAAAGGUUUCUUUUGGCUUUUAUUUUUAUCCUUUUGGCUCAUCCCACAUCCUGGAAUGAAGAAGGCCACAGCAUGACAGUGCAAAAAGGAUGCAGGGACUUCAAGCUCUCUUGAAAAUGAUGUUUUUCUUUGUGCUUUUGCGUUUCUUAUUGUUUCUCUGUGCACUACUGGCUUUCCGACAUGCUUUGUUAUGGAACUCUCUUCACUUGUGUCUAAUGUAAUGAAAUAUUGUUAUAGUCUUUGUAAUGUAUAUUGUCUCAAGAAUAAAAUGAAAUGUGGGUUUGGGGAUAUUUGACAGGUGUAUUUAACAGCAUUGUUCUAGUUGUAUUGUGGAAUCUUGAAUGUAUGUGUCUAAAGUAGUGUAAAAAGAUUUCAGAAUGUUCGUUUCAAAAAAUGACUUGCAAAAGGCAUGAUUCAUUUAAAAAUCGGUAAAGCCCUGGUCAGAUUCUACAAAUUUAUUUCCAAAGCUGGAAAUAAAAUUCCAUUUUAAAACUCUGAAUGUUCCACACUCACUGUGCUCUAACCCAGGAGUAGGAAUCGAAGUGACAGUCAGUGGAAACCAAACAUAAAAACCAGGCUGAGUGAAGUUUAGCUAACCCAAAGUUUAGGUCAUAAUCUUUACAUUUUGUUUUUUAAUUCAGCCUUUUCUUCAGUAAGUUGCUUUUCUAAUUGUUGUAAAUUCUUGUAAGUCAGUGAAUUAUCCUUUAGUUGUUUUAGAAAGUGGCAUGUAAAGACCUUACUAAAUUGGAAAAAUAAAAUUACAUGAUCCUUUUUCCUGUGGUGCUCAUCAAGACUACAUUUUCUAAAUUAGUCCCUAACACCACUGGAAAUUAUAAGUCACACACCUUUGAACACUUUAAGACUAAACAGCCUUCCUCUGUCUCCACACAACUUCUCAUGUUGUGGGGGUUUGCAAACCUUUGGGAAGCGGACAGUUGAAAAAAUUCCCCAGGUGACUCCACUGUCUGAGAUCACUCCCACUCCCCCGUCCCUGCUCCUCUCCCUCAGGGACAACUACCGAUGUAACAAAACAAUCUACAAAAAGAGCAUUAAAUGUGAGUAUUGCUACCAGUCAGACCAGCUGUUUGUAGUAUAUGUAACAUUUUCAGAUUUUUGUUUUUAAAACAUUCAGUUCACACCAUUAUUACUUAUCAGAUGCAUUAACAUAUGGAUUACAUUACACAUUUAGUUAUAGACGUAUCAUUGAACUUGGGCCUAAGUCAAAAGAAAGACUUUGGGGCAUAUCCAGAGUUAGAAAUGCACACAAUAAUGCUAAGAGAGCACAGCUUCGAUAAGAUCCAAUAAUUUCUCCAUUUUGAUUGGGCAUAUUUUUCUCAGUCAACCUUCUUAGUAUGAAAAUUCAGUGGACAAGAUUGAACUUGAAAGAUGAUGAAAAUUUAAGCUCCAGGAUUUAGAAUCAAUUGGAGAAGACUUUAUUAAAGAGUAAAAAGAUGUACUUCUCAUUUGAAAGAGCAGAGAAGCCAUUUUUACCCAGCAAAGACAACCAACACAAAAAGGGCUUUGUUUUUUCAUGAAUCAGGCCUCUGGUGACUCCAUGCAGUCGGUGCUUUUUAAAUGUGUACAAAUAUUUUUUAUCAACCUGGCUGUUGUUUCAUAGCUUUGAUGUGUAGUAUCUCUUUAUAGGAUGCAAUUUUGAGACACAGUCUGCACCUUACUCUCAAUUAGGCAAGUAUACCUAUUGUAAUUGUUAUCUUUGACUUAUGUGACUGGUAUGCUCAAUUUCCUUCACAAAAUAAAUGGCAGCAGCUUAUUUUAUGUCAAUAAAAUUGUCUAAUUGUCUUCUCACCCCUUUAUGAGUUUUUCAAAUUCUUAGCAAAGUGGAAAAAAAAUCUGUAUUUUUAAUGUUAUAUCUCAAAGCUUACUUCCCCCCAGUUCUCUUAUGCAUCAGUACAAAGCACCCUUUAUGAGCAUUAAAUGUGGGUACUGCUACAAGUCAGACCAGCUGUUUGUAGUAUUUGUAACAUUUUCAGUGGAUCCCUUUGUGGUAUUAGUCUAUCAAAAGAGACAUGUUUUCUUAUCAAUGUCAAUUUUGCUUCCUAUUUUUCUCCCCCAUGCCUUUCAUUGGAAUGACAACAGUUGACAUUAAAAAGCUGUUGGCAGGUAUGGAAUGACCUUGUUCUAUUACCAGUAGCAAAGACUGAAAUGCAUGUGAGGUGGCUCACAGGUUUAAUAAGUCAGCAAUUUCAUCUCGCUAUAGUGUAUUAUUUGUAGGCAGCAUUUAGAAUGGGGGGUACAGCAAUGUAUACAAAGACGUCCUUCUAUCUGUGCUUAAUGUCCAAACUGCCUACUGCUCCAGCAGAACAGAGUACAUAUUAGUUUUAGGAGUAGCACAUUUUCUAGUUAGGAAGGAAGAAACCUGUCCUAUAUUCAAAUCACAAUCAUCCGUGGAAAUUAGUUGAUGUUGCUUAUAGCCUCACAGCUUCUGAGCGGGCAGGAAAACCAAGAAAAUUUUCAAAACAAUUAGACAUUAGCACUUCUGCCUAAGGGCUAUUUCCUGAUUUCAUUCAGUGUGUUUUAUCCCUCCUCCAUCCAGGACUCUAGAUCUAGCCUCCCCGCCUCAGGGGUUACACAGGUACCUUAGUGCAUCCCCUCUCCCUUUAUGUCUCUGGUGCACUGUUCUGCCAGUCACCAGAGAAAGGGACUUGCACCUUCCAAACUCGAUGCUACUUCACUCCCGGAUCACCCAGUUGGGAGUGCAGUCUGCGCCAGGUAACCCCUGCUGAAUCGGUCGUGUGUCCUCCAUCUGCUUCUGGUGCAGAGUACCAACUCCCAGGAUGUGCCCCUGUCUGCUCACUUAUGGCCCCUCUGGCCCCGGACACCUCCUUCCUGCAUGGCAGCAUGAAAACUUGACACGAUGCUCCUCACCCACCCAGGGGUGUGUUUCAGCCUGUUGGAUCUGCCUUAAUAACCCAAUUCCUUUCUGUUGUUCUCAGUGGCCUGGUUUGCUUUCGACCCUGGCUCUGCACACUCGGACAUCAUCUUCUCCAAUGACAACCUGACAGUGACCUGUAGUAGCUAUGAUGACCGGGUGGUCCUGGGGAAGACUGGCUUCUCCAAGGGAGUUCACUAUUGGGAGCUAACGAUAGAUCGCUAUGACAACCACCCGGAUCCUGCUUUUGGCGUAGCUCGCAUGGAUGUGAUGAAGGAUGUGAUGUUAGGAAAGGACGACAAAGCUUGGGCAAUGUAUGUGGACAAUAACCGGAGCUGGUUCAUGCACAACAACUCGCACACCAACAGGUACCCUGCAGCCCCAAACCAAGCCUUCUUCACGUUGGCUUCUGGUCACUGAUGAGAACCCUGGUCCAAAGACCUGUUACAUAGGUGACAUUAAGAAAGGGAUGGUAGUUUUCAUUAAGUCACAGAAGAGAUCCAUUACUCUAAGCUGUGUCCAUCUUGCAGGUGGACCUUUUUUGCAUAAUAACAAUAAUAGACAUGUGCACUUUUCUUAGCCCUUUAUUGCUAUGUUACACCCAGGACUAGGAACUAGAGUCCCUAGGGAGAUCCAUUGUAGAAAAACAAUGCAGGAUUCUAAAACCCAGGCCUAUGACUUACCAGAAAAGUGCUUCCAGACAAAGUAAUAUUUGUUUUUCCCUAUGUGGGUUUGCAUAUGCUCCAAGUUAGUAAAAAAAAAAAAAAUCCAUACAGGAGUAUUUAAUCUGAAGAUUAAAUGAGAUAUAAAAAAUUGCCUAACGGUGCAGGCACCAGAAAAUAAAAGCCAUUGUUCUUAUUAUAACAAUACUACUCCAAAUAGAAGCAAUGCAUUGUACAAAAUCUUCUUGAUGCCAAUUUGGGGAGCUUUGUUCUAAGACUCUCUUAUUAUUGUAUGAAUUCAGAGCACCCAGUUGCUAAAGA
rnacentral:lncRNA from 1 species